rnacentral:lncRNA from 1 species
UCGCUUUCUUCCGCUCUUGUUGGCAUACCGAUCUCUUUCUUUCUUCUAUUUGAUGUCUCGCAUCUCAAAAUUUUUUAUCUUUAUCCCAAAUUACGUUAUAAUCAACGCUGAGUCGGACCACACAAAAUAUAUAUAGAGAAAUAUAAAAUAUAGAAUAAACAAAAAAAUAAUUUUGACUUCUUCAUCAACUAACUCACCAUUUUUCAAAAAAUAUACUUGUAUCAAAAGUUCUAUAUGCUAAAACCUCCAUUAAUCAACCAAAAAAAGAGCCAAUCAAAUUAAGUAACAUGAGAGAACAAGUAAUAUUGUUGCUACGCAAAUUUAGAGAAUUAAUAUAUAUACCCGAAUUAACAGACUCGACAUAUCUUUUUUUGCCAAUAACCUACAAAGAAGAAGCUCUCACAAUAUCUUAUUUGCGAAAAUAAAGCUAAUUCAU